rnacentral:rRNA from 1 species
UACGUAGGGUGCGAGCGUUGCCCGGAUUUAUUGGGCGUAAAGGGCGCGUAGGCGGUGAGAUGCGUCCGUUGUGAAAUCGCCCGGCUCAACUGGGCGGGGUCAGCGGAUACGGUCUCACUCGAGCAAGCUAGGGGGCAAUGGAAUUCCCGGUGUAGUGGUGGAAUGCGUAGAUAUCGGGAGGAACACCAGUGGCGAAGGCGGUUGCCUGGGGGCUUUGCUGACGCUGAGGCGCGAAAGCGUGGGGAGCGAGUCCGG